CUAAAGCAAGGAUUGUUCAAGUUAGUUGAAAAUAGACCGUCUCUGGUUAAAUUAGUUCUACACCAAGCCUUUAGGUGGCAGUAAAACUAAUUGGCACAAUGCGAAUUCCACACACAAGCCACAAAGAAGCCAUCAGCCGCGGUCAACAUCACCUUCCUGAUUGAACAGAACCACGCGCUGUCUGUGUGGUUUACAAGUUUCUUGGCGAUAUGGGGGAAAAGUUCCUCACAUACCAACGGAAAAUGGGCGUCAUAUACAUGCAGUCACACAGGGGUUCCAAGACCCACCGGCGUAAAAUCAAGUCAAAGGCUGCUGUCUCAUAAUAUGGCGAAGACGAGUCACCUGAAGGCCUAACUCGCCAUAGAAGACUGAAAGAAUGUAAGAUUAACUUCUUUGUGACCAAUAUGAC